AAAAAAUUUUAAAUAAAUAAAAAAGUAAAAGGAAAUAAUUGAAAUGAAUUUUAUAAUAUUUUAAUUUAAUCCAGUAUAUCAAAAAUACUAUCACUUCUAUAUGUGAUGCUAGACAUGGUUCAAGUGCUCAGUAGCUGCCCGCAGGUAGUAGCUACUGUAUAGGACAACAUGGCUCCAGGGAAAAAUAACAAUCGAGAUCACUUUCCAACAAUGCAGAAAGUGAAUUGUAUCAUUGAGAGCAUAAAAAUGUUUCAGGGCUUUCUUUCACUUUAAUUUAAAUUUCUUCUCUAGAAUCCUACUCUCAGGUCAUAUGAAAUUGUGAUCUUAGGAUUUGAGAUCUUUUAUACUGAACUGAAGAGGGGUCCUUUGUUUGUACUUUGUACUCUUAAGGUUAAAGUAAUAGGCAUUUCAUUUGCUUUUUUUUGUAGGUUUUUCUCUACUAGUUUAUUCUGUUUUACAAGUACUGAAGAUGAUUGUGAAAAAGAUGGUGAUGGUGGUAUAGUUUUGUAAUUGCCUCAAAUCUCCCCUCACAAAAUGUAAAACAAUUAGGAUAAUAAAACAGAAAAUACACAGACAAUAUCUACAGAAAAACUAAGAAUUCCCAGUAACUUCAAUAUGCAAGUGGGUGAGGACAAAAGAAAGAUAACAAGAAGACCAUUUCCUAUAUUAACUAUGUAGAAGGAAGUGAAGGAGGACUAGACAUUCUGGGGGCUCUAAGAGGUGGAGAAUUCCAAAAUCAGCAGACAAAUUUGAGGCUGGUGGCUGAAACAAAUGUGGACUUUUGCAGGUUCAAAUUCACAGAAAAACAAUCCUGUAUUGGGGAGAAACUGCUGAAGAUAUAAUCCAAACUGAGCAAGAAAAAAACACCAGGAAGCAAGGAAAGA